CUGUAGCCUUGCUGCAGCAAGCGUCCAUCUCGUGGUCUCUCGGUGAGGUCCAAGAGACAGUUGGUGUGGAGGAGAUUCAGUGGGAUCAUUUUUCAUUUCUGUGUGGAUUUUUUUAAAGAAAUCGUCAUCUGUGUAGAAGCCACUUUCGAUCUCCUGGCUUCUAUCCCUUGCCCUGCUGGCAGGGCAUUAUGCGGCACCCUUUGCAGGCCACCUGGGUGCAGGAGAUCGAGGAGGAGGUAAAGGAAAGACCAACCCCGAGCAUCUGCCAUCCAGCUUCAUCCCAUCUAGAGCAAUUCCAGGAUAGAGUGGCUGAAGCGGAUGCUCAGGAGGAAGGCUGGGCAGGUGGCUCCAGAGCCAGCAGGAAGCGGCAGCCGGCCUUCCCAGGAGGAGAGCGGCCCCUCUGUCCCCGCGGGUGGGGAAGAGGCUUGUGGCCAGGGUAAAGAGAGGAGCUCCCUGGCAUUCUGGAGGAGGAGGAAGACACCAGCUCCCAUAGCUGACCCUGAGGCACCUUCUGGGCCCAAAUGGAGGUGGUCCCGGGUACAGCUAUGGAGGAGGGAACCAGGAGAGGGCAGGAGCCAGGCAAGGCAGCUCUGGGGCUUCCUUCACAGGAAGCCAAGGAGCCAGGAGCUGUGUCCCAGGGCCCAGCAGGAGCCAUCCACUACCCUGGCCACCGAGAAGCCUCCUGCCAGCCCCACCCAGGCCACCGAGGAGCCCCCCGCCAACCCGACCCUGGCAACUGCGGAGCCUCCUUCCAGCCCAGAGCAGGAGUUGAGCGACUGUUGGACAAACACCAGCAGCUCCGCCUACUCCCGAGGGGCCAGCAGCUCCUCUGUGGGGUCUGGCAGCCCAGAGUUGAAAGGCUCCCUCUUUGGAGAUGGAAAACUGAGGGAGAGAGCGAGUCCAAGUGAUUUCCUGAUGGUCACAGAAGUCUGUGGCAGAACAGAACUGAACCAAAGCUAGACUAGUACCCCAACCACUGGCCCAGCUUUCCUGGAAAGUCACAAGAAUCCCAGUAUGUCAGCAUGGAGAAAGAUGUUUGGAAAUGGGAAGCUGCCACCAGGCCCUGUCACUCUUCCCAUCCUAGGGAACCUGCUGCACCUGACUACUAAGAACUUGCCCCCAAAGUAUAGAGAAGAUAAGCCGUAAGAGUCCUUCUUAGUUAUUUUGUCGUAGGUGGGCAUAAAAUUGAGUCUGAUGCAAGUAGAACUGAGACAUUUCCAGUGUUCGCACAGUGGCAAUCCCGGAUAGUCCAGCUCAUCGUAUUUCAGGCUUUAAAAAAAACAAAACGGUUUUCACAAACAUCCUUCAUCUUGACUAAAUAAACUGUUAAUGCUAA